ensembl:lncRNA C10orf95-AS1 C10orf95 antisense RNA 1
GGUCACAACGUCCUUCAAGGCAUUCAUUCCUGCAAUUUUUUUUUUUUGAGACGGAGUUUUGCUCUUUUUGUCCAGGCUGGAGUGCAAUGGCGGGGAUCUUGGCUCACUGCAACCUCCGCCUCCCGGGUUCAAGCCAUUCUCCUAUCUCAGCCUCCCAAGUAGCUGGGAUUACAGGCAUGCGCCACCAUGGCCAGCUAAUUUUUUGUAUUUUUAGUAGAGACGGAGUUUCACCAUAUUGGUCAGCUGGUCUUGAACUCCAGACCUCGGGUGAUUCACCCACCUCGGCCUCCCAAAGUGCUGGGAUUACAGGCAUGAGCCACUGUGCCUGGCCUGCAAUUUUUUUUCAUGACCACAAAGUUACCUCUUCCUGCUUGACCAAGAAACAGCACAUCAGCAGUUUAUAUUGUGGGAACAAGGAAUAUUGGGCAAAAAGUGAGUGGUUAGCACGUGCAAGCAAGCAUCGGCCUGAUCAGAAUUUUUUUUCUUUUUUUUUUUCUUUUUGACAAGGUCUCAUUCUGUCACCCAGGCUGGAGUGUGAAGGGGUGGGUUGCCCCUCCACACCUGUGGGUUUUUCUCGUUAGGUGGAACGAGAGACUUGGAAAAGAAAGAGACACAGAGACAAAGUAUAGAGAAAGAAAAAAGGGGGCCCAUGGGACCGGCGUUCAGCACACGGAGGAUCCCCCCAGCCUCUGAGUUCCCUUAGUAUUUAUUGAUCAUUAUUGGGUGUUUCUCGGAGAGGGGGAUGUGGCAGGGUCAUAGGAUAAUAGUGGAGAGAAGGUCAGCAGGUAAACAGUGAACAAAGGUCUCUGCAUCAUAAGGUAAAGAAUUAAGUGCUGUGCUUUAGAUAUGUAUACACAUAAACAUCCCAAUGCCUUGAAGAGCAGUAUUGCUGCCCGCAUGUCCCACCUCCAGCCCUAAGGCGGUUUUCCCCUAUCUCAGCAGAUGGAAUAUACAAUCGGGUUUUACACCGAGACGUUCCAUUGCCCAGGGAUGAGCAGGAGACAGAUGCCUUCCUCUUGUCUGAACUGCAACGAGGCAUUCCUUCCUCUUUUACUAAUCCUCCUCAGCACAGACCCUUUACGGGUGUCGGGCUGGGGGACGGUCAGGUCUUUCCCUUCCCACGAGGCCAAAUCUCAGGCUAUCACAUAGGGAGAAACCUUGGACAAUACCUGGCUUUCCUAGGCAGAGGUCCCUGCGGCCUUCCGCAGUGUUUUUUGUCCCUGGGUACUUGAGAUUAGGGAGUGGUGAUGACUCUUAACAAGCAUGCUGCCUUCAAGCAUUUGUUUAACAAAGCACACCUUGCACAGCCCUUAAGCCAUUUAACCCUGAGUUGACACAGCACAUGUCUCAGGGAGCACAGGGUUGGGGGUAGGGUUACAGAUUAACAGCAUCUUAAGGCAGAAGAAUUUUUCUUACAGAACAAAAUGGAGUCUCCUAUGUCUACUUUUUUCUACACAGACACAGUAACAAUCUGAUCUCUCUUUCUUUUCCCCACAGGAGUUCAGUGGCAUGACCAGGGCUCACUGCAACCUUGAUCUGGGCUCAAGUGAUCCUCCUACCUCAGCUUCCUGAGUAGCUAGGACCACAGGUGUGCACCAACCACACCCGACUAAUUUUUGUAGAGAUGAGAUCCCACUAUGUUACCCAGGCUGGUCUUGAACUCCUGGGCUCAGGUGAUCAUCCUGCCUUGGCUUCCCAAAGUACUGGGAUUAUAGGCUUGAGCCACCGUGCCUGGCCUGUGAUCAGAAUUCUCAUUUUUUUAGUCACUAAAAAUGCUGGGGGGCACUCCAUUCUCCAUUAUGUGAUUAGUUCACAUUGCAUGCUUGUAUCAAAACAUCAUAUAUACCCCACAAAUAUAUACAAAAAACUUUAAAAUUUUAAGUAUUAAUUGCUCAGGAAAAAAUUAAAAUGCUGGGGUGCUGAAAUCUCAAGGGCCCCAUUACAAAACUCCUUAGGAACCUCGCCCUCUCUCUGCUGUAAGGACUGGUUCCAGAAUGAGAGAAUUUAAAAGACAUUCCCCCCCCAAAAUGUUCAUAAUGUCACCCCGGAAACCUGCGAAUAUGUUAUAUUACAUGACCAGGGAGAAGUAAGGUUGCAGAUGGCAGUAAGGUUGCUAAUGGGCUGACCUUAAGAUAAGGAGAUGAUCCUGGAUUAUCUGGGUGGACCCAAUGUAAUCACAAGGGUCCUUAACUGUGGAAUAGUGAGGUGGCUGAGUCAGAGGCAGAGUGAUGCAAUGACUGAAAGACUUAACCAGCCAUCACCGGCUUUGAAUACGGAAGACGGUCAUGAGCCAGGGAAUGCAGGCAGGCUCUGGGAGCUGAAAAAAGCAAGAAAAUGGAUUCUCCCCUGGAGCCUCCAGAAGGGAUGCGGUCCUGCCAACCCCUUGUCAGUGAGCCAUUUCAGAUUUCUGACUUCCAGGACUGUAAGAAAAUAAACUUGUCUUGUUUUCAGCC